CCUACGGGUGGCAGUAGUGGGGAAUAUUGCACAAUGGGGGAAACCCUGAUGCAGCGACGCCGCGUGAGUGAAGAAGCCCUUCGUUCUUUAAAGCUCUAUCAUCCGGGAACAAAAUUACGGUACCUGAGUACGACGCCCCGGCUAACCACGUCCCAGCCGCCGCGGUACUACGUAGGGGGCACGCUUUUUCCGGAUUUACUGGGUGUACGGGGAGCGUAGACGGGAGUGCAAGGCUCGAGUGAAUGGCUGGGUCUCAACGCCCGGACUGCUCGGGAAACUGUACGGCUGGAGUGCAGGAGAGGUGAGUGGAAUUCCUAGUGUAGCGGUGAAAUGCGUAGAUAUUAGGAGGAACACCAGUGGCGAAGGCGGCUUACUGGACUGUAACUGACGUUGAGGCUCGAAAGCGUGGGGAGCAAACAGGAUUAGAUACCCUAGUAGUC
rnacentral:rRNA from 1 species